rnacentral:rRNA from 1 species
GUCUAUGGCCAUACCACCUGAACACAACCGAUACUGUCUGAUCUCAGAAGCUAAGCAGGGUUGGCCCUUGUUAGUACUUGGAUGGGAGAAGUGGAUGUUAGUUAUUGAGC